GAAAAGAAACCAACAGGGAUUGCCCCAGUAACGGCGAGUGAAGCGGCAACAGCUCAAAUUUGAAAUCUGGCCCUCGGGUCCGAGUUGUAAUUUGGAGAGGAUGCUUCUGGCGCGGCGCCGUCCGAGUUCCUUGGAACAGGACGCCAUAGAGGGUGAGAGCCCCGUACGGGCGGCCGCCUAGCCUUUGCGAAGCUCCUUCGACGAGUCGAGUAGUUUGGGAAUGCUGCUCAAAAUGGGAGGUAAAUUUCUUCUAAAGCUAAAUACCGGCCAGAGACCGAUAGCGCACAAGUAGAGUGAUCGAAAGAUGAAAAGCACUUUGAAAAGAGGGUUAAAAAGUACGUGAAAUUGUUGAAAGGGAAGCGCCUGUGACCAGACUUGCGGCCCGCGGAUCACCCGGCGUUCCUCGCCGGUGCACUCCGCGGGCGGCAGGCCAGCAUCGGUUUUCCUGGGGGGUCAAAGGUCGCGGGAACGUGGCUCCUUCGGGAGUGUUAUAGCCCGCGGCGCCAUGCCUCUGGGGGGACCGAGGACCGCGCUUCGGCAAGGAUGCUGGCGUAAUGG
rnacentral:rRNA from 1 species